rnacentral:rRNA from 1 species
AGAGUGAACGCUGGCGGUAGGCCUAACACAUGCAAGUCGAACGGCAGCACGGUAAGAGCUUGCUCUUAUGGGUGGCGAGUGGCGGACGGGUGAGGAAUACAUCGGAAUCUACCUUUUGGUGGGGGAUAACGUAGGGAAACUUACGCUAAUACCGCAUACGCCCUUCGGGGGAAAGCCGGGGACCAGCAAUGGCCUGGUGCUGAUAGAUGAGCCGAUGUCGGAUUAGCUAGUUGGUGAGGUAAUGGCUCACCAAGGCGACGAUCCGUAGCUGGUCUGAGAGGAUGAUCAGCCACACUGGAACUGAGACACGGUCCAGACUCCGUACGGGAGGCAGCAGGUGGGGGAAUAUUGGGACAAUGGGGCCG